rnacentral:rRNA from 1 species
UACGUAGGUGACAAGCGUUGUCCGGAUUUACUGGGCGUAAAGAGCGCGCAGGCGGUCGAUCAAGUCGAGUGUGAAAGCCCCCGGCUCAACUGGGGAGGGUCAUUCGAUACUGAUCGACUCGAAGGCAGGAGAGGGUAGUGGAAUUCCCGGUGUAGUGGUGAAAUGCGUAGAUAUCGGGAGGAACACCGGUGGCGAAGGCGGUUCUCUGGGCCUUACCUGACGCUGAGGAGCGAAAGCAUGGGGGAGCAAACAGG